GCCCGCCCCCCCUUACCGGCGGUCGGCGCCGCGCUGCGGGGGCGGCGGCGGGCGGCUCCAGUCACGCCGGGAACCAUGGAAAGGAGCCGGGACGGGAGACCUCAGGGAUACCCAAAUUUCAUCUAAGGGUCAUCACUGUGGUUACCCAGACCCAGAAGGCUGUACCUACUUGGGGAAACUGGUGCGAGGUGGUGUCGUGGCCAGGGAUGACAGAGAUGGCUGGGGAGCUACAGGUCCCAACAUGCAGGACGGUGUGGAGGUGGCAGCGGGGCCGGGGCAGCGGGGUUGGGGACAUGCGCUGGCGGGCUGGCUGUGCACGCCGGGCUCUACACAGGGCCAAAACAAAGACCUCUACACACCUGGAGUAAGAACAGUGGUAACAAAGUCAUAGCUACAUAUUCUUCUCUACAUUUUUGUUUAUUGAGACAAACUAAUUAAAAGGCACAAACAUAGGGCAUAUGUUUACAUGGACAUUAUAACAAACAUAUACAUUAAAAGUGUAGGAAUGUGUUUCCUUUCUGCUAAACAGAAAGUUCCUAAGCUUUUAUAUAUACAAAAGUUGUACAAUUUGAUGUCCUAAAGUACAAAAGAUCAUUUAUAAAAUUAUUUUACACUAAGCUCUAUUAUUUUUUUUUGUUUGUUUUUGUUUUACUAUGUAGUCCAAGCCCCUAGAACAGUUUCACGUAAGGAUACAGAUACCUGUCACCUGAGCCAGCAGCCUGGCAAUCACUGCUCGCACGGACACGGCCGGGGAGGAACGGAAGCAGUCCAGUGUGACUGGUCAGUCCUGCUAGCACUCUGUGAAAAUGCACACGCUAAUCUCCAGAGCUCUCAACUUCAUUAAGAUAAAAACAUCUCAACUGUAAUUUCUUUUUUUUUUUUUUUCCUCUUUUUUUUUUUUAUUUAAUGUAGAGGUUGGGUUUAGGGUGGUUUGUUUUUUUUUUAAACAAAGUUUUAAAAAUGUGAAUAUGUGACAUGAUAGUCUAAAAAGUAUAUCUGUUUCCCUAGACUUUGCUUUCUACUUUAUGUACAGAUAAACAGGUUAAGAAAAAAAAAGCACAUGUAGCUUAAACAUGUGUGACCAUUUAUGAGCAGUUCUGGGCUGGACAGCUCAGCACCCCAGAACUCCCACAAAUUGAUAGAAAUGUGUUAACACAAUAGAAGAAUAACGUAAAAAUGAUGAUGUUUGCAAAUAUUUACAAAGUUGAACAGAUUUGCACAACACUUGAUUAAGAAAUAGGGGAGAAAUUAAAAGACGCUCUCUGCUUGUCCUGGAGGGGCAUCCUACCUAGUUAGUGGUUAGAAUAAAAACUGUAUACAAUUUAAUAUAAGACAAAACUUCUAGUGAACAACUAACACGUCUGUCCCCUGCUGAAACACCAGCAGGCUCUGAUUGGGAGGCAGAGGGCAUAAAAAUCACACCCAGGGCCUCCAGAAUCUUCCAGCUUAAAGCAAUUUUCCUUAAGUUUCCAAGCACUCCUUUUGCUCCUAGAUAAGAGUCCCAUGGGGGUCUGACUGUUCAGAGACCAUGUUUACACACAUUUCGACUCCUCUUCUGUCAGCCAUGGCUGUUUCUCACCAAACAAUAACAGUUUUUUUAAAAAAAAUGUUGACUACAAUGCUCUAUAUUCCCUUAGGGUAAUAUGUUGGGUAAUAUUUACAUCUCCAAAUAUCAGGUCACAAUCCCUAUUAUAUGUUGAAGUUAGAAUGAUAAGUUAUCAUAUGCUUUGCAUAUCAGAGCUGGUAUCACCUUUCCCAUAGGGAAUGCUGCCUGAAAUUACCAUAUUCCCAAAGGUAAAAUGCAUAUUUUCUCCAAAAAUGCAUUUUUUUUUUUUUUAAUGACAACAUUGUAAUGCAUUUACUCAUUAAAAAAAAAAACAAAAA